UACGUAGGGAGCAAGCGUUGUCCGGAAUCAUUGGGCGUAAAGCGCGCGUAGGUGGCCCCGUAAGUCCGCUGUGAAAGUCAAAGGCUCAACCUUUGAAAGCCGGUGGAUACUGUGGGACUAGAGUACGGAAGAGGCGAGUGGAAUUCCUGGUGUAGCGGUGGAAUGCGCAGAUAUCAGGAGGAACACCAAUAGCGAAGGCAGCUUGCUGGGACGGUACUGACGCUGAGGCGCGAAAGCGUGGGGAGCAAACAGG
rnacentral:rRNA from 1 species